rnacentral:antisense_RNA from 2 species
GUCAAUGGCGGUCGUGCGCGUGCAGGCUUUGGCCUGACCGUGGAUUCAUGGUUACACACGGGCUUCUCACCAUGCGUACGACUGCCACCCUA